rnacentral:rRNA from 1 species
UACGUAGGGGGCGAGCGUUGUCCGGAUUUAUUGGGCGUAAAGGGCGCGUAGGCGGCUUUUCAAGUGAGGGGUGAAAUCCCUCGGCUUAACCGAGGAACUGCCUGUCAGACUGGAAGGCUUGAGACCGGGAGAGGUGAGUGGAAUUCCCAGUGUAGCGGUGAAAUGCGUAGAUAUUGGGAGGAACACCAGUGGCGAAGGCGGCUCACUGGACCGGAACUGACGCUGAGGCGCGAAAGCCAGGGGAGCGAACGGG